AUGCUUGAUUUUUGUUUAAAUGAGGGAUUUUGGCAGAGAACAUGCGUGAUUUUGGGGUUAAACGGGGGAUUUCUGCAAAGAAAAUGCAUCAUUCUUGGGUUAAAUUGUGUAUUUUUGCAGAGAGAAUGCUUGAUUUUCAUUUAAAUGAGGGAUUUCUUGCAGAGACAAUGCUUGAUUUUUGUUUAAAUGAGGGAUUUUGGCAGAGAACAUGCGUG
rnacentral:lncRNA from 1 species